UACGUAGGCAGCAAGCGUUGUUCGGAAUUACUGGGCGUAAAGCGAGUGUAGGCGGUUCGAUAAGGUUGGUGUGAAAUCUCCCGGCUCAACUGGGAGGGUGCGCCGAAGACUGUCGAGCUAGAGUGUGGGAGAGGUAGGCGGAAUUCCUGGUGUAGCGGUGAAAUGCGUAGAUAUCAGGAGGAACACCUGCGGUGUAGACGGCUUACUGGACCACGACUGACGCUGCAACUCGAAAGUGUGGGGAGCAAACAGG
rnacentral:rRNA from 1 species